rnacentral:rRNA from 1 species
UACGUAGGGGGGCAAGCGUUGUCCGGAUUUAUUGGGCGUAAAGAGCGUGUAGGCGGCUUUACAGGUCCGUUGUGAAAACUCGAGGCUCAACCUCGAGACGCCGGUGGAAACCGUAAAGCUAGAGUCCGGAAGAGGAGAGUGGAAUUCCUGGUGUAGCGGUGAAAUGCGCAGAUAUCAGGAAGAACACCCGUGGCGAAGGCGGCUCUCUGGGACGGUACUGACGCUGAGACGCGAAAAGCGUGGGGGAGCAAACAGGAUUAGAAACCUUGUA